rnacentral:lncRNA from 1 species
AUUUUCAUACAAGUGUCCAUUUCAUUCAUCUAUUACAAUUUACAUCAUUCAUACAAAAACAAUACAAGGAAAAAAGGACAACUUUGGCCAAUAGUUGACUUUGGUAAACGGUUGACUUUUUCGUCAACUUUGACCAAACUCAACUCCCCUAUUUUCUAAGCCAAAUCCUAAAUCCCCAUUUUGAUUCUUCAUUCUCCCAUAUUCUCCU